GUGCUCGCUUCAGCAGCACAUAUACUAAACCUGGAACGAUACAGAGACGAUUAGCAGAGUCCCUGCACAAGGAUGACAUGCAAAUUUGUAAAGCGGUUCAUAUUUUU